CGUACCGUGUAGGACGUAAGGCCAUGCCAACCAGGAUAUGAUAGUUCAGCAGCUCCGAUGCUCGCUCUGGAUAUGGGAGACCCAGGAUCAAAAAGCUUCACCAUGCAAAACACAUGAUUCAGUUCGAAACCGGUAGGGAGCUCUGGAUGCCCAAAUACCAAACAGGCAGAGGGACACUGAAACCAGCCAGUAGGAAAUGGAAGAAGACUGAAUCUGAAACUAUGAAUAGUUACAGUUACAUACUACGAGCACCAUGUGGCAGAAGCAGUCCCCACUGAAAUGAAUGGAGCUACCUGUGUUGUGCGAUAACAAAAUAGAGCAGAUCUCCACAGGCAGCUGUAGUUCCACACUGGGGCAAGUCCUGCCCAACAGGAAUGGAUUGUAGUUAUUGACCAUUUGGGAAAAUGUAGAUGUGCUACCUAUUCCAGGUACCUAUUGCAUCCACCGUGGCUUCAAAGGAACAGCCAGCCCCCAAGGUAAA